AGAGUUUGAUCCUGGCUCAGAUUGAACGCUGGCGACGUGCUUAACACAUGCAAGUCGUGCGAGAAAGGAGACUUCGGUCUCUGAGUAGAGCGGCGCACGGGUGAGUAACGCGUGGAUGAUCUACCCUUGAGUUCGGGAUAACGGUGCGAAAGCGCCGCUAAUACCGUAUAACAAUCCAUUUCAUCGUGGGUUCAAAGCAGGCCUCUUCAUGAAAGCUUGCGCUUGGGGAUGAGUCCGCGUCCCAUUAGCUUGUUGGCGGGGUAACGGCCCACCAAGGCAACGAUGGGUAGCUGGUCUGAGAGGAUGAUCAGCCACACUGGAACUGAAACACGGUCCAGACUCCUACGGGAGGCAGCAGUGGGGAAUAUUGCGCAAUGGGGGAAACCCUGACGCAGCGACGUCGUGUGAGGGAAGAAGGCCUUCGGGUCGUAAACCUCUGUCAGAAGGGAAGAA
rnacentral:rRNA from 1 species